AUUGAACGCUGGCGGCAGGCCUAACACAUGCAAGUCGAACGAGUGGCGGACGGGUGAGUAAUGUCUGGGAAACUGCCUGAUGGAGGGGGAUAACUACUGGAAACGGUAGCUAAUACCGCAUACCCACAGAUGUGCCCAGAUGGGAUUAGCUAGUAGGUGGGGUAACGGCUCACCCAGGCGACGAUCCCUAGCUGGUCUGAGAGGAUGACAGGCCACACUGGAACUGAUACACGGUCCAGACUCCUGCGGGAGGCAGCAGUGGGGAAUAUUGCACAAUGGGCGCAAGCCUGAUGCAGCCAUGCCGCGUGUAUGAAGAAGGCCUUCGGGUUGUAAAGUACUUUCAGCGGGGAGGCGUUACCCGCAGAAGAAGCACCGGCUAACUCCGUGCCAGCAGCCGCGGUAAUAC
rnacentral:rRNA from 1 species